rnacentral:rRNA from 1 species
UGGGGAAUUUUGGACAAUGGGCGAAAGCCUGAUCCAGCAAUGCCGCGUGUGUGAAGAAGGCCUUCGGGUUGUAAAGCACUUUUGUCCGGAAAGAAAUCCUUGGCUCUAAGUACAGUCGGGGGAUGACGGUACCGGAAGAAUAAGCACCGGCUAACUACGUGCCAGCAGCCGCGGUAAUACGUAGGGUGCAAGCGUUAAUCGGAAUUACUGGGCGUAAAGCGUGCGCAGGCGGUUUGCUAAGACCGAUGUGAAAUCCCCGGGCUCAACCUGGGAACUGCAUUUGGUGACUGGCAGGCUAGAGUAUGGCAGAGGGGGGUUAGAAUUCCACGUGUAGCAGUGAAAUGCGUAGAGAUGUGGAGGAAUA